GGGUUAGGGGGAUUAGGUUUCUUUUUUAGGAUUUGGGCUGAUUGGGUUUGAUUUAGGUGGGUUGGGAUUUGGGUAUUUAUUGGGCCAUCUGAUUUGGGUUUGUUUGCCUGGGCCGGGCGAAAUUGGGCUGCUACAGCUGCCCCUCUUUGCUCGUUGUUGUGUAACGAGAAUAGAGCAAAGACCAAGAAAGGCCAAUUUUGCCCGGUCUCGCCUGUUUUGG
rnacentral:lncRNA from 1 species